rnacentral:rRNA from 1 species
CACGGGGGGAGCAAGCGUUGUUCGGAAUCACUGGGCGUAAAGGGCGUGCAGGCGGUCAGGUAAGUCGGGUGUGAAAGCCCCGGGCUCAACCUGGGAAUUGCAUUCGAGACUGCAUUGCUGGAGUACGGAAGAGGAGGGCGGAAUUCCCGGUGUAGCGGUGAAAUGCGUAGAUAUCAGGAAGAACACCCGUGGCGAAGGCGGUUCUCUGGGACGGUACUGACGCUGAGACGCGAAAGCGUGGGGAGCGAACAGG